rnacentral:lncRNA from 1 species
AUGAAGCGAUGGAUCAAUGAGAUUGAAGAUGAUAUGUUGUUAAAGAAAUCUACCUUCAUGGAGUGGUGGAAGACACUUCCUGAGCAUCAUAGAUCACAGUCUUGUAUUAAGGAUGACAUCGAGAGGAUGGUGAAUGACAACAAUGCCACUAACACAAUGUAGUCCAACAUUAAUAAGCCAUUGUACUUGAAAAAGACAAUGACAUUCCAACAGCAUCCCUUCUGUUUGUAUGAAUAAUCAGAACUUAUUUAAAAAAUGUCCCUAAUGUAAUGAACAUGUUCUGAAACAAUUUCGCUACCAAUUUUAUAAUAGUGUUGAGGCUAUCAACAAGAUAAUCAACAAGCACUAACCUUGUAAACUCUGACAGAAACGGCCAACCACCUGUGCUGACGGGCAGAGGCCUCGUUCAUGGUCCAUGGAGAUAAACCUUAAGAAAAAAGUACGACAAAUAUAGAAUAGAAUAACCAUUUAAAACAGCAGACAUAAAUUUGAGCAUGUUUGGAAUGACCUUUAAAGAGCUACAGAAGGGGUAUCCAAGCACUAAGAUAAUCAAUCCAAACUCCAUGAAUCCAAUCUCCAAUCUGUUCAUUUACAGAAAUUGUAAUAGUUUCCAAUAGAGACCACCAAU